rnacentral:rRNA from 1 species
CGUGUAGGCGGUCCGGUAAGUCGGCUGUGAAAGUCCGGGGCUCAACCCUGGGAUGCCGGUCGAUACUGCCGGACUAGAGUUCGGAAGAGGCGAGUGGAAUUCCCGGUGUAGCGGUGAAAUGCGCAGAUAUCGGGAGGAACACCUAUGGCGAAGGCAGCUCGCUGGGACGUUACUGACGCUGAGACGCGAAAGCGUGGGGAGCAAACA